rnacentral:rRNA from 1 species
GACGAAUGCUGGCGGCGUGCUUAACACAUGCAAGUCGAACGGAAAGGCCCUGCUUUUGUGGGGUGCUCGAGUGGCGAACGGGUGAGUAACACGUGAGUAACCUGCCCUUGACUUUGCGAUAACUUCAGGAAACUGGGGCUAAUACCGGAUAGGAGCUCCUGCUGCAUGGUGGGGGUUGGAAAGUUUCGGCGGUUGGGGAUGGACUCGCGGCUUAUCAGCUUGUUGGUGGGGUAGUGGCUUACCAAGGCUUUGACGGGUAGCCGGCCUGAGAGGGUGACCGGCCACAUUGGGACUGAGAUACGGCCCAGACUCCUACGGGAGGCAGCAGUGGGGAAUAUUGCACAAUGGGCGGAAGCCUGAUGCAGCAACGCCGCGUGCGGGAUGACGGCCUUCGGGUUGUAAACCGCUUUCGCCUGUGACGAAGCGUGAGUGACGGUAAUGGGUAAAGAAGCACCGGCUAACUACGUG